GCUCUCUAAUCACCUGUUUGCCCCCUCAGUUUCCAGAUGCAAUCCAUCACCAGCCUUGGAUGUAAACAUGGACUCUCAUCCUAGAAUACCUGCGAUCAAAUUAUCCAUGUAUGUCUGAUAAGACUAUGACUUUAGCUUCCCAGCCCUCCACUCUGAGAUGCCACGGCAAAGAUGAACGAAUCCUGCACAGCCUAAUGACCCUGCAGAGGGAACAGGGACGUGAACUGGAAGAAGCUUCUACUUACUAACUGAAUGACUUUCCUGAGCCUGGAUAUUACCAGUGAAAGGCAAACAAUAAUGGCAUCUAUCUCAGGUGUGAUAUAAAGAUUAAAUGAGAUAAUAAAUGAUAAGUGCUGC
rnacentral:lncRNA from 1 species